ACUAAAUGCUGGAGGAGGCUAAUUUAAAUUUACGACAAACAAGACCAUAUUGCUGAACAAAAAACACUAAAAGGAGUCGGACAUGGCUGGUGCGUAAAAGAUAAAUGCUAAAAGGAAUGAGACAAUGAUUAAUACUAAAUCUAAAACAAUCUUACUGGGUAAAAAUCAAACCUCAAAACGAUUAAGACAACGCGGCUCGGGACACUAGAAUCAAUACAAUUGAGACAUCACUGCUGCAAAUUAAACUCUUUAAAAUUUAAAUAACGUUUCUGACACUUCUAAUUUUUAAGACAUGAAAAAACACAAAUGGAGACACAAUGUAAUUGGUUAUAAUCGGUAUAAACGGAUCGAAACAGCAGUUUUAAAGUUAUAACCAUUCUGGUCUGGACAUUAUAAAAUCCACACGAAAUGACGCGAAUUUACGUAUGAAAUAACAACAGCAGCGACAGUAAAAACGGACGUUAAUUCAAAUGUUCAAAGAUGUCAAGAGGAAGAGAGAAAUAGGCAGGACCUUUGGAUCCCGGAUAUGAACCGUUGAUCCACAGAUCAAUCAUUUGGCGGCUGGAUUCCUAAACCUUCAAGUCCACAUGUUAAAAUGUCGUUGAGCAAAACAUUUAAACUCGGGUGAUAAUGGUUUUAAAGGUUGGUAAUGCUGCUGGGUGUCAAACCUAAAAUCUCUUAGGACCGAGAAGAGACAACGCUUUGCGGGACAAAUUCAUCUCUCUAAGGACGAAGACAACGCUUCUGUGGACAAAUGAAAUCUUUCAAGUAGUGAGGAAUUUUAAUCUUUUAGGACUAAUAUGAUGUCAUGGUGGACAACUUAAAAUGUAGAGGAAUUAAAACAACACGCGGAGUACAAAUUAAAAUCUUUAAGGAUAAAAGAAAAAGACAGAGAUAAAUAUUUGGUUAAGGCUUGGUCCAGUGACUUGGACCACCAUAGACAUAUUCUGAGGACCACCAGGAGCUGCAGUCACCUUUCAGGUUAAGGCAAAAGUAAGUAUCAGUCCCAGACAGAGCAGCUGGCAGUGAGACUGCUUCUUCCAAGAUUCUCUCUGUGCUUCUGUCUCUGUUUUCCUCUCUACUCUCCCAUGUUUCAGGGUGUAGUAGCGGUGCUUCCCCACACGGUGCUCUCUAAUAUAGUUAAUUGUUCUCACCUGUUCCUCCACUAAUCCACUCUCCCAGUUCUACUCUUUCAGGUUUUAGCUGCUCAUCGCUGGAUUCUUUCAUCGUUGUCCAUGUGGUUCCUGCUUGUAAGUUUUUGCAUUCAACAACACAUAAUAUUGCUGGCCUCCUGCUGGCAUUGGUGACCAUCAGCUUUAAUAAAUAAAUAUAGAAAGAAAUUCACUAUUAGUAGAAAGUGUUCCUCCAUAUAGAGUUAAAUUUACAUUAAGUGAGGAAAGUUUGCCUGAUAAUAUUUUGUAUUAGAGACCAAAUUAAAGCAGCAAGUCAAUAAAAAUUUGGAAGACAGAAUUUAUGAUUGAGGGAUUUAAUUAAGAGCUUUUAUCCAGAGGGAAAGUAGAGAACAGGAUCGGAGGGAAGGAAAUAGAGAGGAUGUGGAGUAAAGAUAAACUAUUAAUCUCAUAAAACAAAUAGUUCAUGUGGCCUUAUUCAUGUGUUACAACACAGAAAGAUCCCAAAAAGAGAAUAGACUUUAAAAAAUACUGACACUAGUUUCUGAUCCCAGGUCCAGACUGCUCAGAUCUCUGAUGUUCUGAUCAUCCCAGGUUGGAUCUCCUGAGCCUGGAAUCCUCCACCUUCAACACCACCAGUCAGGUGGAGGAAGAUAAGAGAACCCAGUUGGUCAAAAAAAUUGACCAACAAUUAAAGCAGAAGACCUGCUCCACCUGCUGUUCUACUGGUUGGAAGAGAUUGUGGAAAAGCAUCAGCGAGACAAGACAAGACUGGACCAAUGAGGAGAGAGAAGACACAGAGGACUGAGGAGACGCUGGAAAUCCUGCUGGAAAUCCAGAGAAGAUGUUUCCUGAUGCAUCAGGGGGACAACUGAGGACAGGACACAGCAUAAAGAGACAGAGAUCAUGUGAAGUAGGUUGGAUCUCCUGAGCCUGGAAUCCUCCACCUUCAACACCACCAGUCAGGUGGAGGAAGAUAAGAGAACCCAGUUGGUCAAAAAAAUUGACCAACAAUUAAAGCAGAAGACCUGCUCCACCUGCUGUUCUACUGGUUGGAAGAGAUUGUGGAAAAGCAUCAGCGAGACAAGACAAGACUGGACCAAUGAGGAGAGAGAAGACACAGAGGACUGAGGAGACGCUGGAAAUCCUGCUGGAAAUCCAGAGAAGAUGUUUCCUGAUGCAUCAGGGGGACAACUGAGGACGGGACACAGCAUAAAGAGACAGAGAUCAUGUGAAAUUCAAGGAUGGCCUUUCAACCCUGGAUGUCAUUUAUGCUUCGGAGCUUCAUGCUUCUGUGUUCAGGCCCUUUAUGUGCACAAGGGUGGAAAAGCUGACAUCAGAAAUGUUAGAGGAAAUCUGUGAAGUUCAGCUCAGCGAAAAGGACAGCACCAGACGACAAGAAGAAACCAGACUGCUAGGAUUCUCCUUGAGACAGACCAAACCUCGCUUUCCUGUUCAAACACUGUCAAGAUACCAAAGCCCAAAACAAAUGAUCAAUUCCAAAAAA